AAACAUAGAAGGCUCACCACUUGUCUCUGUAAUUUUGUCUGAAUGAUCUACUGAUUCUCUUGACCCCUAGACUGGGCCUCUAAACCUGAGAGGUUAGAGAAGGAAGGUGGUUAGCACAAGAGUACUGGCACACAGAGAUAUUAAAAUAAAGCAUAAUAUUUUUACAAUAUAUAGUUGAGAGCCAUUAUAAAGAAAUUUCGUAUCAAAUCAUUU
rnacentral:lncRNA from 1 species